GAUGAACGCUGGCGGCGUGCCUAAUACAUGCAAGUCGAGCGAACAGACGAGGAGCUUGCUCCUCUGACGUUAGCGGCGGACGGGUGAGUCACACGUGGAUACCCUCCCCAUCAGACUGGUAUAACUUCGGGAAACCGGCGCUAAUACCGGAUAAUCUAUUGCACCGCAUGGUUCGAUAGUGAAAGACGGUUUUGCUGUCACUUAUAGAUGGAUCCGGGCGGCAUUAGCUAGUUGGUAAGUUAACGGCUUACCAAGGCAACGAUGCGUAGGCGACGUGAUAGGGGGAUCGGCGACACUGGAGCUGAGACGCGGACCAGGCGCCUACGGGAGGCAGCAGUAGGGAAUCGUACGCAAUGGGCGAGAGCAUGACGGAGCAACGCCGCGUGAGUUAUGAAGGUCUCCGGAUCGGAAAACUCGGUUAUUAGUUAAGAACAAAUGUGUCAUGAGCUGUGCACGGCUUGACGGUACCUAAUCAGAAAGCCACGGCUAACUACGUG
rnacentral:rRNA from 1 species